ACAAUGUCUGUAAACUCUUUCGGGGAAGAAAUCUAAGGAACAAUUUCAAGCCCAGAGCAAGUGACACAAUAACGGCUUUGAAGCACAACCGGAAAGGCAGAACAGGGGUGGUGGCUUUUUGGCAGAAGUGCUCUUUUGAGUGAGAUGCUGAAGAGACAAAGCUGGCCUCAUGAAUGGCAUGGCGCAGGCACCCAGUCAUCAGUGUGCCUUAAUUCCAUUUGCCCUGUGCAUCUGAAUAAUACCCACUUCCUCUUCUGUCUGCCCUCAGAAGUGGGGUCUCAGGGUCACAUGGAUGAAGUUGAAGUUUAUUAACGGGUUUUCUGCAAACCCCCCUGGAAGGUUUACAAGCUGGGUCAUUAGCGGGUUGCAUAUCCAUUAUGGUGAUCAUUUACCAACCAAAGGGUUUGGGGGAGGGUCAGCACUUAGCGUAGUUGCACAGCAACCAUCAAUUGGCCUUGGUUCCAUUUGUCUCAUCCCUGCCUCCUCCCUCCAUGCCCCUCUUCUUACUCUUAUUUGCUCCCUUCAUUCUUAGGCCUCCUUCUUGCUCUGUGUUUCUCAGACACUAUCCUACUCUAGCUUGCAACCUUUUCAGCCUACUCUCAUCUUAAAACAAGUCCUGUAUUCAAGUUAGUAAUGAUUGUUGGGUGAAGCUAGAGUUGAAGAAUACUUGAUAAUAUACAACACUUCUAUUGAUUCUCUGGGUUAAUUUUCCCAACAAUCUGUAAAAUAAUAAUAGCAAUAAUGGCAAUUAUUUAUUGAACACCUUGAGCCAGUCAUUGUCACGUACUCUGAGUGCAUUAUCUCAUUUAACCCUCACCAUGACCUAAUAGACAGGCACUAAUAGUAUUAUUCCCAUAUUACUAAUGAGGAACAGGGGUCACAGAGUUGAUUAACUUUCUCAACUAUCACAAUUCAGUACAUAUAGUCUGUCUUAAAUCUAAUUUUUCAUUCUUUUUCAUUUCUUCUUCUUUUUCUAUAAUGAGCAUUUGUAUUGAAGGCUUUAAAAUUGUUUUGCUUAGUCAUAUAGAGAAAAUUAUGUAGUUCAGUAGAAAACAACCCGUAGUUUAAAGAACACCUGUCAAGGUUAUCUGAUUCUGAUGCAACAGGAGCUAUUUUGCGACUCUGUAAAUUGUAGGUGAACUGAGAACAAUGCACAAUUUUUUUCUAUACACAUGCAAAUUAUGUUCUGUCCAGUAGAGGUUCAAUUGACUUUUCUGUCCCAUUGUAGGAGAAUCUAGUUUUGCUUCCAUUUGCACAUUCAUUUCAACAUUCCUUUACUCUAUAUACAUUUGGGCUUAUUUUUCACUUCUUUUUUGAAUUGGUUGUAACACCUCACCUAUUUCCAUAUUAUGAGUUAAAUAAAAUAUUUAACUUGUUUUUUGUUUGUUUGUUUGUUUGUUUCACAGGGCUGACGUAACAAAGUGCCACAAACUGGGUGGCUUAAAACAACAGAAAUUUAUUACUGCAUAGUUCUGGAGACUAGAAAUCUGAAACCAAGUUGUUGGCAGGUCCACGCUCCCUCAGAACCCUCUAGGGGAGAAUCCUUCCUCGCCUCUUCCAGCUCAGGUAGCCCCAGUUGUUCCUUGGCUUGUGGCAGCAUAACUCCAGUCUCUGCCUCCUUAUACACAAGGCCAUCUCUUCCCUGCUUUUCCAACUGUGUCUUCACAUGGCGUCCUCCUUGUAUGUCUGUGUCCAAAAUUCCCUCUUCUUAUAAGGGCAUCAGCCAUAUUAAAUUAGGUCCCAUCUAAUGACCUCAUCUUAACUUGAUUAAACCUGCAAAGACACUAUUUCCAAACAUGGUCACAUUCUCAGGUACUGGGAGUUCAGGCUUCAACAUAUCUUUUAGGGGCACACAGUUCAAUCCAUAACAAGGUGUUCAUUUUUAUAUCCAUAUGAGUCAUGAUUUUACCUUCUUUUGAAAAUUAUUAUAACAUCUAAUAAUCUCCUGACAAUACAUUGGAAUACAAAAUCACUUAUUUUUUCUUUUUAAAUUUUUUUCUAUAGAACAUGUCAAAUAUACAUAAACAAAAUAGAGAGAAUAACAAUGUGUCCCCAUGUACCUGUGACUCAACCUCAACAAUUAUUAACAUUCUGCUAAUUUUAGUUUUACUCACAUCAAUGCCUGCAUUUAUAGGGGUUCUGCUCUUGACUCUCACCCCCAUUCUCCAAUUCCAGUUCACUGCUGAGUAUUUGGGCUGCCAAGAGUAACUUGUUACUUUAAAUAGAAAUAAAUAAUCAAUUCAAAGGUAGUAACAAUGAUAAAGCCCUUACACCACCCAUCCUAGGAGGGAAUUAUAUUGCUUCUAGACUUUGCACUUGGAUAGUAUAUCAUAAACACGUACUCGGAUUUUAUGGAGAGAAAUUAAUGUGUCUCUCUCCUGUGAUACAUUUAUAUUUUAACUAGAGCAUAUCUGGAAGGAAGAUGCAUGAAAGAAACUUUGAAACAGAUGGAGACCAGUCUUGUCUCUACGACUCCUUGAAGUCCUGCUUAUGAGACAGCCCUCUCUCCCACCUGCAUGCAAGGACAGCCCAAGGUUCUCAUGUUCUAGCCACCUCCCGCAUUCAGAUACAAC
rnacentral:lncRNA from 10 species